rnacentral:rRNA from 1 species
GAUGGGGGGGGGCAAGUGUUCUUCGGAAUGACUGGGCGUAAAGGGCACGUAGGCGGUGAAUCGGGUUGAAAGUGAAAGUCGCCAAAAAAGUGGCGGAAUGCUCUCGAAACCAAUUCACUUGAGUGAGACAGAGGAGAGUGGAAUUUCGUGUGUAGGGGUGAAAUCCGUAGAUCUAUGAAGGAACGCCAAAAGCGAAGGCAGCUCUCUGGGUCCCUACCGACGUUGGGUGCGAAAGCAAGGGGAGCGAACAGG